rnacentral:misc_RNA from 1 species
UCGCACAUGGGGCUCUUCGCCG